AGAGCGAACGCUGGCGGCAGGCUUAACACAUGCAAGUCGAGCGGGCGUAGCAAUACGUCAGCGGCGGACGGGUGAGUAACGCGUGGGAACGUACCUUUUGGUUCGGAACAACACAGGGAAACUUGUGCUAAUACCGGAUAAGCCCUUACGGGGAAAGAUUUAUCGCCGAAAGAUCGGCCCGCGUCUGAUUAGCUAGUUGGUGGGGUAACGGCUCACCAAGGCGACGAUCAGUAGCUGGUCUGAGAGGAUGAUCAGCCACAUUGGGACUGAGACACGGCCCAAACUCCUACGGGAGGCAGCAGUGGGGAAUAUUGGACAAUGGGCGCAAGCCUGAUCCAGCCAUGCCGCGUGAGUGAUGAAGGCCCUAGGGUUGUAAAGCUCUUUUGUGCGGGAAGAUAAUGACGGUACGCAAGAAUAAGCCCCGGCUAACUUCGCGCCAGCAGCCGC
rnacentral:rRNA from 1 species